UACGGAGGGGGUUAGCGUUGUUCGGAAUGACUGGGCGUAAAGCGCGCGUAGGCGGAUCGGCAAGUCGGGGGUGAAAUCCCGGGGCUCAACCCCGGAAUGGCCUUCGAAACUCCCGGUCUUGAGUUCGAGAGAGGUGAGUGGAAUUCCGAGUGUAGAGGUGAAAUUCGUAGAUAUUCGCAAGAACACCAGUGGCGAAGGCGGCUCACUGGCCCGAUACUGACGCUGAUGCACGAAAGCGUGGGGAGCAAACAGG
rnacentral:rRNA from 1 species